rnacentral:rRNA from 1 species
GACAGAGGGUGCGAACGUUGUUCGGAAUUACUGGGCGUAAAGCGCGUGUAGGCGGCAGCGCAAGUCGGGCGUGAAAUCCCACGGCUCAACCGUGGAAGUGCACUCGAAACUGCGCAGCUAGAGUCCUGGAGAGGAAGGUGGAAUGCUUGGUGUAGAGGUGAAAUUCGUAGAUAUCAAGCGGAACACCGGUGGCGAAGGCGGCCUUCUGGACCAACACUGACGCUGAGGAGCGAAAGCCAGGGGAGCAAACGGG